CCUACGGGUGGCAGCAGUGAGGAAUAUUGGUCAAUGGGCGGAAGCCUGAACCAGCCAAGUAGCGUGCAGGAUGACGGCCCUACGGGUUGUAAACUGCUUUUAUACGGGAAUAACGCGCCUUACGUGUAGGGCUUUGCAUGUACCGUAUGAAUAAGGACCGGCUAAUUCCGUGCCAGCAGCCGCGGUAAUACGGAGGGUCCGGGCGUUAUCCGAAUUUAUUGGGUUGAAAGGGAACGUAGGCGGCAUGUCAAGCGUGCUGUGAAAUGUCCGGGCUCAACCCGGGCCUUGCAGCGCGAACUGGGGUGCUUGAGUCCGCGGAAGGCAGGCGGAAUUCGUAGUGUAGCGGUGAAAUGCUUAGAUAUGACGAAGAACCCCGAUUGCGAAGGCAGCUUGCUGCAGCGGAACUGACGCUGAUGCUCGAAAGCGGGGGUAGCGAACAGGAUUAGAUACCCUUGUAGUC
rnacentral:rRNA from 1 species